UAAAGGCUUGGUCCUGACUUUACUAUCAGCUCUAGCCUAACUUACACAUGCAAGUAUCCGCACCCCUGUGAGAAUGCCCUCAAUCCCCCGUCCGAGGAAGAGGAGCAGGCAUCAGGCACAAACCAUUUAGCCCAAAACGCCUUGCUAUGCCACACCCCCAAGGGAACUCAGCAGUGAUAAACAUUAAGCCAUAAGUGUAAACUUGACUUAAUUAGGGCUACAUUUAGGGCCGGUAAAAUUCGUGCCAGCCACCGCGGUUAUACGAAAGACCCUAGUUGAUAAACACGGCGUAAAGCGUAGUUAAGGAAAUGAAAAAUAAAGCUAAAGACCCUCUAAGCCGUCAUACGCACCCCGAGGACACGAAGCCCAAACACGAAAGUAGCUUUAAGCAAAACUCACCUGAACCUACGAAAGCUAAGAAACAAACUGGGAUUAGAUACCCCACUAUGCUUAGCCCUAAACCAAGAUGACCAGCUACAAACCCAUCCGCCAGGGUACUACGAGCCACAGCUUAAAACCCAAAGGACUUGGCGGUGUCUCAGACCCACCUAGAGGAGCCUGUUCUAGAACCGAUAACCCCCGUUAAACCUCACCACUUCUUGUUCCCGCCGCCUAUAUACCGCCGCCGUCAGCUUACCCUGUGAAGGCACAAUAGUAAGCAAAAUGGGUUCACCCAAAAACGUCAGGUCGAGGUGUAGCGUACGAGGUGGAUAGAAAUGGGCUACAUUUUCUACAACAGAACAUACGGAAGGCACCUUGAAACAUGUACCCAAAGGUGGAUUUAGUAGUAAAAAGCAAAUAGAGUGUUCUUUUGAAUUAGGCUCUGAGACGCGCACACACCGCCCGUCACUCUCCCCCCCCCCCCCCCCCCCCCCAUCCAUAAUAAUACAACAACCGCCACGGGGAGGCAAGUCGUAACAUGGUAAGUGUACCGGAAGGUGCACUUGGAAUAAU
rnacentral:ncRNA from 1 species